rnacentral:rRNA from 1 species
AGCGAACGCUGGCGGCAGGCUUAACACAUGCAAGUCGAACGCCCGGGCAACCGGGAGUGGCAGACGGGUGAGUAACGCGUGGGAACAUGCCCUUUGGUUCGGAAUAACUCAGGGAAACUUGAGCUAAUACCGGAUAAGCCCUAACGGGGAAAGAUUUAUCGCCGAAGGAUUGGCCCGCGUCCGAUUAGCUAGUUGGUGUGGUAAUGGCGCACCAAGGCGACGAUCGGUAGCUGGUCUGAGAGGAUGAUCAGCCACACUGGGACUGAGACACGGCCCAGACUCCUACGGGAGGCAGCAGUGGGGAAUAUUGGACAAUGGGGGCAACCCUGAUCCAGCCAUGCCGCGUGAGUGAUGAAGGCCCUAGGGUUGUAAAGCUCUUUCGGCGGGGACGAUAAUGACGGUACCCGCAGAAGAAGCCCCGGCUAACUUCGUGCCAGCCGCCGCGGUAAAAC